rnacentral:rRNA from 1 species
UACGGGGGGGGCAAGCGUUGUUCGGAAUUACUGGGCGUAAAGGGCUCGUAGGUGGCCAACUAAGUCAGACGUGAAAUCCCUCGGCUUAACCUGGGAACUGCAUUCGAGACUGCAUUGCUAGAGUAUGGGAGAGGGAAGUGGAAUUUCCGGUGUAGCGGUGAAAUGCGUAGAUAUCGGGAGGAACACCUGUGGCGAAAGCGGCGCACUGGACCAUAACUGACGCUGAGGCGCGAAAGCUAGGGGAGCAAACAGG